AACUUGUAAACUGUUCACGAGGUAAAGGUUACACCCCUUAAUGAUCCAGGAGAUCGUCAACUCCAAUAGGUCUGGAACUAUGACUAGUAGUUCGGGCAUGAAGUGAAGAUGAAAAGUUAAGGUGUGGAUAUUCAAGUUUCCGGGGAAAGAGAGCUAGCAUGGAAGAUUUAUUUUUAUGUCAAAAUGUCUAAAAGAACGGGAAGACUUUGUGCCUCUUCAAAAUAUUUGAUGAGUGUUUUGCACUGACUCAGAGGCAACAACACAAAAGGAGGAAUACAAACAAAGAUAAUGAAAAUCAAGGCCAUAAAAUCUCAAGGUAAAGCAGAUGAUAUAAUCAUUAUACAAUCUUUAAAUUCAGCUAAACUACUAUAUAAUAAUUGAAUUUUUGAACGCAAAAAAGUAUAUUUAAACAA